CUACGGGUGGCUGCAGUGAGGAAUAUUGCGCAAUGGGGGAAACCCUGACGCAGCGACGCCGCGUGAGUGAGGAAGGCCUUCGGGUCGUAAAGCUCUGUCAGAAGGGAAGAAAUACAUAGUAGUUAAUACCUGCCAUGUUUGACGGUACCUUCAAAGGAAGCACCGGCUAACUCCGUGCCAGCAGCCGCGGUAAUACGGAGGGUGCAAGCGUUAAUCGGAAUCACUGGGCGUAAAGGGCGCGCAGGCGGUUUUAUAAGUCAGAUGUGAAAGCCCACGGCGCAACCGUGGACGUGCAUUUGGAACUGUGAGACUUGAGUACCAGAGGGGGUAGUGGAGUUCCCGGUGUAGAGGUGAAAUUCGUAGAUAUCGGGAGGAAUACCGGUGGCGAAGGCGACUACCUGGCUGGAUACUGACGCUGAGGCGCGAAAGCGUGGGGAGCAAACAGGAUUAGAUACCCCCGUAGUC
rnacentral:rRNA from 1 species